rnacentral:rRNA from 1 species
UACGUAGGGUGCAAGCGUUUAAUCGGAAUUACUGGGCGUAAAGCGUGCGCAGGCGGUUAUGUAAGACAGUUGUGAAAUCCCCCGGGCUCAACCUGGGGAACUGCAUCUGUGACUGCAUAGCUAGAGUACGGUAGAGGGGGGAUGGAAUUCCGCGUGUAGCAGUGAAAUGCGUAGAUAUGCGGAGGAACACCGAUGGCGAAGGCAAUCCCCUGGACCUGUACUGACGCUCAUGCGACGAAA